rnacentral:rRNA from 1 species
GCCGGCGAUCAUAUCACGUAGAAAGGACCGGUUGUCGUCCGAUCACCGCAGUUAAGCAACGUUGAACCCGGUCGGUACUUGCAUUAAAUAUGUACAUGUGUCAAUUUUAGUGUGUGAAGCUCACACGAUGUCAAUC